UACGUAGGGUGCAAGCGUUAAUCGGAAUUACUGGGCGUAAAGCGUGCGCAGGCGGUUUUGUAAGACAGGUGUGAAAUCCCCGGGCUUAACCUGGGAACUGCAUUGGUGACUGGCAGGCUUUGAGUGUGGCAGAGGGAGGUAGAAUUCCACGUGUAGCAGUGAAAUGCGUAGAGAUGUGGAGGAAUACCGAUGGCGAAGGCAGCCUCCUGGGCCAACACUGACGCUCAUGCACGAAAGCGUGUGGAGCAAACAGG
rnacentral:rRNA from 1 species